rnacentral:rRNA from 1 species
CACUCCUGCGGGAGGCAGCAGUGGGGAAUUUUGGACAAUGGGCGAAAGCCUGAUCCAGCAAUGCCGCGUGAGUGAAGAAGGCCUUCGGGUUGUAAAGCUCUUUUGUCAGGGAAGAAACGGUGAGAGCUAAUAUCUCUUGCUAAUGACGGUACCUGAAGAAUAAGCACCGGCUAACUACGUGCCAGCAGCCGCGGUAAUACGUAGGGUGCAAGCGUUAAUCGGAAUUACUGGGCGUAAAGCGUGCGCAGGCGGUUUUGUAAGUCUGAUGUGAAAUCCCCGGGCUCAACCUGGGAAUUGCAUUGGAGACUGCAAGGCUAGAAUCUGGCAGAGGGGGGUAGAAUUCCACGUGUAGCAGUGAAAUGCGUAGAUAUGUGGAGGAACACCGAUGGCGAAGGCAGCCCCCUGGGUCAAGAUUGACGCUCAUGCACGAAAGCGUGGGGAGCAAACAGGAUUAGAUACCCCGGUAGUCCC